AGGUGAAAGCAUUUAUGGCCAAUGGAUGUCACUUGGAUUUUAAUCAAACCCCCUUUGAUUCAUUCUCCCCACAGACUUCUACACAAAAGUUAGUAAGUAUUUUGCAGAGCUCUGAUCACGUCAUAUGCAGCUGGUUGUUUAUAGCUCAGCUCAAAUUUCGGAGGACUUAUCAUUUGUUGCAAAUGACGAAUCAGACUUUGUACAUAAGCACCUGCUGUUGUGAGGAUAUAAUAUAUAAUGUAACAAUGUAGUUACGAUAUAAUAUAUAAUUUAACAAUGUAAUAUAACAAUGUUUCUAAAUU